CGCCCUCGGAGCGACGCGGCAGUGCUUUUGCAGACCAAUUGUCCGGAAUAACUAAAAAAAGUCGUACAAGUUUCCGUUCGUUCUUCUAAAUUAUCCGGGCGCAAACAAAGUCACAAACCAGCGAUUGCCAAUAACAUACCAACAGAAAACUGCUGGCGUGUGCUAGCGUCGAUCGGGAACGUUGAUUACAUAGUAACUGAGGUCACCGAAGUUAACCGAAGCCCAUUCUUCACCAGCCAUCAGUUAAUGUCAGAGACGUACAUCAGUGACGAAAGCGGGAGAAGAAGUGCUGAGUCAAUAGAACAGCUACACAUUAUCUAUCGGCGCUGAGGAACGGAAGGACUGAUCUCGAGCACCAUCAACAAAACGAACUUGAAGAAAACGUAGAAACCCCGACCAACGACAUGGCUACUAAGGAUGUUAAGGAUGACACCACUCCUGCCGCUUCUUAUACCGGCAAUAUGUUUACGCGGGCGGAGGUAGCAAAGCAUGCCGAAACUUCCAAGGACACAUGGAUCAUCAUUCACAAUAAUGUCUACAAUGUCAGCCAGUUCUUAAAUGAGCAUCCAGGUGGUGAGGAGGUACUCCUUGAGCAGAAUGGACGCGACGCUACUGAACCUUUCGAAGAUAUUGGACAUUCAACAGAUGCUAGGCAAAUGAUGGAAAAGUAUAAAAUUGGUGAACUGGUAGAAGAAGAAAGAACGAAAGAUACCGGAAAGGCUAGAGAUUGGUCCAAUAAAGAUCAGGCGGAUAAUUCUAGAAAGAAGGAUUCCCGCGAAACAAAGAAGUAAACCCUGUCCUUAAAUCCUUAAACGAGAAAGAAACGGCUGCAAGAGGGCAAAAUCGAAUAAAUUAAUCGAAAAGGCUGCGUCAACUGCGCCACUAAUGAGAAGAAAAAGAGAAGGCUACACUGAAAAUAAUACUUUAUAUAAAAGUACAAUGAAUUUAUAUAUAAUUAAAUUUACUUUUUUUGAUAAUUUAUUUUUUGAUAAGUGUAAUGUACCUUGAAAGAGCUGGUAAAUAAUAACUUGUGUAAGUUAUAAAGUUUAAAUUAAUAAAAAUAAUGUACAAACAGCA
rnacentral:misc_RNA from 1 species